rnacentral:misc_RNA from 1 species
GAUGAAGAACGCAGCGAAAUGCGAUAAGUAAUGUGAAUUGCAGAAUUCAGUGAAUCAUCGAAUCUUUGAACGCACCUUGCGCUCGUUGGUAUUCCGACGAGCAUGCCUGUUUGAGUGUCAUUAAAUUCUCAACCUCAUCGCUUUUGUGAUGAAGGCUUGGAUGUGGAGGUUUUCUGCAGGCCGAAAGGUCUGCUCCUCUCAAAUGAAUUAGUGGGUGCCCCGCGCAAACCUAUCUAUUGGUGUGAUAAUUAUCUACGCCGUGGAUUUAGGAUUGCUGUAAAAAGGUGUUUGCCCUGCUUCUAACCGUCUUCGGACAACUUGAACCAUUUGACCUCAAAUCAGGUAGGACUACCCGCUGAACUUAAGCAUAUCAAUAAGCGGAGUA